rnacentral:rRNA from 1 species
UACGUAGGCCGAGCGUUGUUCGGAAUUACUGGGCGUAAAGAGUGUGUAGGCGGUGUUCCAAGUCUGGUGUGAAAUCUCCCGGCUUAACUGGGAGGGUGCGCCGGAAACUGGAGUGCUAGAGGGUGGGAGAGGUAAGCGGAAUUCCUGGUGUAGCGGUGAAAUGCGUAGAUAUCAGGAGGAACACCUGUGGUGUAGACAGCUUACUGGACCACUUCUGACGCUGAGACACGAAAGCGUGGGUAGCAAACAGG